rnacentral:rRNA from 1 species
GUGCCAGCAGCCGCGGUAAUACGAGUGGUGCAAGCGUUAUUCGGAAUCAUUGGGCGUAAAGGGUGUGUAGACGGCAUAUCAAGUCAACUGUUUAAUUCUCCGGCUUAACCGGAGGCCAGCGGUAGAAACUAAUGUGCUAGAGGGUGGAAGAGAGAAGUGGAAUUCUCGGAGUAGCGGUAAAAUGCGUAGAUCUCGAGAGGAACACCAAUGGCGAAGGCAGCUUCUUGGUCCAUACCUGACGUUGAGACACGAAAGCGUGGGGAGCAAACAGGAUUAGAUACCCCGGUAGUCC